rnacentral:misc_RNA from 1 species
CGGUCAUCCAGCGGCCGCCGUCUCGAGCCAAGGACCGCCACACAAAGGUCGAGGGCCGCGGGCGUCGGAUCCGGAUGCCACCAGCGUGCGCCGCCCGCAUCUUCCAGCUCACCCGCGAGCUCGGCCACAAGUCCGACGGCGAGACGAUCCGCUGGCUCCUCGAGCGCGCCGAGCCAGCAAUCAUCGCCGCCACCGGCACCGGCACCGUCCCCGCCAUCGCCACCGAGG